rnacentral:rRNA from 1 species
AGAGAGUAGCUUGCUACUUUGCUGACGAGUGGCGGACGGGUGAGUAAUGUCUGGGGAUCUGCCUGAUGGAGGGGGAUAACUACUGGAAACGGUAGCUAAUACCGCAUAAUGUCGCAAGACCAAAGCGGGGGACUUUCGGGCCUCGCACCAUCAGAUGAACCCAGAUGGGAUUAGCUAGUAGGUAGGGUAAUGGCUUACCUAGGCGACGAUCCCUAGCUGGUCUGAGAGGAUGACCAGCCACACUGGAACUGAGACACGGUCCAGACUCCUACGGGAGGCAGCAGUGGGGAAUAUUGCACAAUGGGCGCAAGCCUGAUGCAGCCAUGCCGCGUGUAUGAAGAAGGCCUUCGGGUUGUAAAGUACUUUCAGUCAGGAGGAAGGGUGUGAAAUUAAUACUUUCAUGCAUUGACGUUACUGACAGAAGAAGCACCGGCUAACUCCGUGCCAGCAGCCGCGGUAAUACGGAGGGUGCAAGCGUUAAUCGGAAUUACUGGGCGUAAAGCGCACGCAGGCGGUUUGUUAAGUCAGAUGUGAAAUCCCCGGGCUCAACCUGGGAACUGCAUUUGAAACUGGCAAGCUUGAGUCUUGUAGAGGGGGGUAGAAUUCCAGGUGUAGCGGUGAAAUGCGUAGAGAUCUGGAGGAAUACCGGUGGCGAAGGCGGCCCCCUGGACAAAGACUGACGCUCAGGUGCGAAAGCGUG